GAUGAAGAACGUAGCGAAAUGCGAUAAGUAAUGCGAAUUGCAGAAUUUCCGUGAGUCAUCGAAUCUUUGAACGCACAUUGCGCCCACUGGUAUUCCGGUGGGCAUGCCUGUUCGAGCGUCAUUAUCCUCCCUCAAACCCCGGGUUUGGUGUUGGACCCAAGUUGUGUGAACAACUGGUCUCAAAGACAAUGACGGCGUCCGUGGGACCCUCGGUGCAACGAGCUUUUAGGAGCACGCAUCGAGUUGCAAGGACCUUCCGGGCCGGUCUCCUUUACCAUUUUACAAGGUUGACCUCGGAUCAGGUAGGAAUACCCGCUGAACUUAAGCAUAUCAAUAACGGAGGA
rnacentral:misc_RNA from 1 species